rnacentral:rRNA from 1 species
GACGAACGCUGGCGGCGUGCCUAAUACAUGCAAGUCGAACGAACUCUGGUAUUGAUUGGUGCUUGCAUCAUGAUUUACAUUUGAGUGAGUGGCGAACUGGUGAGUAACACGUGGGAAACCUGCCCAGAAGCGGGGGAUAACACCUGGAAACAGAUGCUAAUACCGCAUAACAACUUGGACCGCAUGGUCCGAGUUUGAAAGAUGGCUUCGGCUAUCACUUUUGGAUGGUCCCGCGGCGUAUUAGCUAGAUGGUGGGGUAACGGCUCACCAUGGCAAUGAUACGUAGCCGACCUGAGAGGGUAAUCGGCCACAUCGGGACUGAGACACGGCCCAAACUCCUACGGGAGGCAGCAGUAGGGAAUCUUCCACAAUGGACGAAAGUCUGAUGGAGCAACGCCGCGUGAGUGAAGAAGGGUUUCGGCUCGUAAAACUCUGUUGUUAAAGAAGAACAUAUCUGAGAGUAACUGUUCAGGUAUUGACGGUAUUUAACCAGAAAGCCACGGCUAACUACGUGCCAGCAGCCGCGGUAAUACGUAGGUGGCAAGCGUUGUCCGGAUUUAUUGGGCGUAAAGCGAGCGCAGGCGGUUUUUUAAGUCUGAUGUGAAAGCCUUCGGCUCAACCGAAGAAGUGCAUCGGAAACUGGGAAACUUGAGUGCAGAAGAGGACAGUGGAACUCCAUGUGUAGCGGUGAAAUGCGUAGAUAUAUGGAAGAACACCAGUGGCGAAGGCGGCUGUCUGGUCUGUAACUGACGCUGAGGCUCGAAAGUAUGGGUAGCAAACAGGAUUAGAUACCCUGGUAGUCCAUACCGUAAACGAUGAAUGCUAAGUGUUGGAGGGUUUCCGCCCUUCAGUGCUGCAGCUAACGCAUUAAGCAUUCCGCCUGGGGAGUACGGCCGCAAGGCUGAAACUCAAAGGAAUUGACGGGGGCCCGCACAAGCGGUGGAGCAUGUGGUUUAAUUCGAAGCUACGCGAAGAACCUUACCAGGUCUUGACAUACUAUGCAAAUCUAAGAGAUUAGACGUUCCCUUCGGGGACAUGGAUACAGGUGGUGCAUGGUUGUCGUCAGCUCGUGUCGAGAGAUGUUGGGUUAAGUCCCGCAACGAGCGCAACCCUUAUUAUCAGUUGCCAGCAUUAAGUUGGGCACUCUGGUGAGACUGCCGGUGACAAACCGGAGGAAGGUGGGGAUGACGUCAAAUCAUCAUGCCCCUUAUGACCUGGGCUACACACGUGCUACAAUGGAUGGUACAACGAGUUGCGAACUCGCGAGAGUAAGCUAAUCUCUUAAAGCCAUUCUCAGUUCGGAUUGUAGGCUGCAACUCGCCUACAUGAAGUCGGAAUCGCUAGUAAUCGCGGAUCAGCAUGCCGCGGUGAAUACGUUCCCGGGCCUUGUACACACCGCCCGUCACACCAUGAGAGUUUGUAACACCCAAAGUCGGUGGGGUAACCUUUUAGGAACCAGCCGCCUAAGGUGGGACAGAUGAUUAGGGUG